rnacentral:lncRNA from 1 species
AUGUUGAAUUCUGAAUGCUGACAUAGAGAUCGUAUUGGAGACACAUUUUUCACACAGUCUGAGAAAGUACCUAUAACACUAUAAUGUGAUGGAAGGUACAACAAUAAUAGCAGGAUGGAAAAGCUUUCGGCUGCAGCAAAUGCAGACACCACAAGGAGGAGAAAAAAGAGACCACCACACAAGCUACUUACCUUUAGAAGGCCUCAGGAGAACAGAUGAUGAGCAACUGGCUGCUGCACAGUACUUCAACUCAGACCUGCCACCUGUAAUAAAAUCAUGAAAAAUAUUCAGUAAUAGAUUUGGACCAGGACAACAGAACCUAAUGUCUCAAUCCAGAAAAACAAUUUAUCACAUGCUAUGAAGGACAGAAGUUGCUUUGCUGGCUGAGAAACAGAUCUAAAGGUGCUGACAGGUAUUGCAGAAGAACCAGCUGAGAUGAUUU